rnacentral:snoRNA from 1 species
ACUUUAUGGUUAGGGAAUUGUAUCAACUUGUCAUUAAAGCGUUGCCACACCUCAUAUAAAGGCUCACCACUAAGUUGACAAAAUUUUGUGAUUUCAUCUCUUAGUU